rfam:Ipomoea nil DNA, scaffold: scaffold1361, cultivar: Tokyo-kokei standard.
ACAUGCCUGGCUCCCUGUAUGCCAUCUGCAAUGUUCCACCAAAAACUGUUGGCAUCUUCAAAUGGCAUGCAAGGAGUCAGGCAUGC